GACCCUACUGGUCACAAACCAGCCCCAAUACAAGACAGAGACAGCCGCACAGGGGAAUUCCUGCCUGGUGGGGCUCCUAUCUUCAGCCCUCAGCUACUCAGGGUAUGGCUCCUAGUGAGAACCGAGCCACAUUCGUGGUUCCUAAGUGACCUAUGUCAGCAUCCUGCUUAGGUAUUUGUACAGGGACUACUGCCAGCCUUCCAGACAGUCCCUACAAAGAGUCCGGCCCCCAAGGCUCCAACUGGACAUGGCUCCAUAUUGACCCCUUUUUUGUCCUCCAACCCACUGGCAGUAGCAUCUUUUUCAAUCAGUUCAGUACAUUUAUUUCCAACUUGCACACAAAACAUACUGAAAAACUAAAAAAAAAAAAAAAAUCAUUAAAAGUAGACCCUUCAAGACAAAUAUCUCUACCUCCCAAAUACAAAGCUAAAAACAGAGGAUUUGGUGGAUGGUCAUCUGUCAGAUUCUGAUGAUUAUUCAGAAUUCAGUGUGGAAGAUGACAAAGAUCAGAGGUAAAAGCAGGCACUCUGACUUAAGGUGCUGUUCCUGAGGCCCAAAAGUGUUUGUCAGACUUGUGCAAAGUCAUGUAUGGAAGUUGGAGACGGGCUCAUCAUUUUAAACUUAAUCCAGGCCAUGGCCAGGUGGACCCCGAGAUGAGUCCACUCUGAGGCUGCAGCUCAAAAGAUCAUCUAGCAAAACCUUUUUUCCCAGCUAUAUAUAAGGUAUUUUAAAAGCAGCAUAAAAUAGUUAAGAAAAUGUGCCAAGAUUACCUCAGUACUUCUGGUCUGUGUUCUCAGAAGAUCCUGAAAAUGACCAAUGAUAAGGUAAUGAUCUCCCAUGGCAGAAAGAGUUUUGCUCAGA
rnacentral:lncRNA from 1 species